UACGUAGGCACCAAGCGUUGUCCGGAUUUAUUGGGCGUAAAGAGCUCGUAGGCGGUUCGGUUAGUCGGGUGUGAAAACUUUUGGGGCUCAACUCAAAGACUGCACCCGAUACUGCUGUGACUUGAGUCCGGUAGGGGGAGUGGGGGAAUUCCUGGUGUAGCGGUGGAAUGCGCAGAUAUCAGGAGGAACACCGGUGGCGAAGGCGCCACUCUGGGGCCGGUACUGACGCUGAGGGAGCGAAAAGCGUGGGGGAGCGAAACAGG
rnacentral:rRNA from 1 species